AGGGAUGGCACUGCUGGGAAGAGCUGUGUGUGAGAGAACCAGCUAGAAGGAUCCAGUUGUCAAAAUUUCCACGGGAAUGAAUGGAACCACUCAGGAACACUUUUCAGAAAGGCAGAAAUACUUCCAGCCUUGGGCAGGAGGAAAUCAGAGCAGGGAAUGCUCAACUGCCUAAAGCCAUUUACCUAAAAGAAGAGUACAACCUGGACCAGUCCCAAAGGACAUUCAGCUCCUUAGUGGAUCAGCAUGAUCAGUGCAGAUCAAGCACUCCUGGAUAUUUUUAAAUUCAUGAUCAGCCUAUUACUUUAUGAGACAGAAAGCCUACCUUUUCAACCCUACUGUAAAUCAGUUUCUAUUCUCUCUUCUCUUCUCUUCUCUUCUCUUCUCUUCUCUUCUCUUCUCUUCUCUUCUCUUCUCUUCUCGGACGAGUUGUGUGUACACUGAGAACAAAAUUAUCUGAAGAGGAAUUCUCCUUCCAUAUCUUCCUUUGAAUUUGUUGGAUGCCACUCUGAAAGAGUCAAGAGUUCAAGAUUUAAUGUUCUAAUAAAAGUAUGCAUCCUGAAGUGAGACCUCUGAAAUGAUACUGCAUCAUCAGUAAAGUGAAUCCACCAGACAUCCUAUACAUUACAGUGAACAAUUUCAAAUCUCAUCUUCCUACAGCACUCAAAGUGAAAUGAAGCUGAAUAGAACAAAUCCUGAUUUUUCACAUUUGCUGUUAUUAAAGAAUGGAACAAAGUAGUGCCGAGGGGAAUAAGAGAAUAAAGCUAUGGCUAUUCAGUUGUGAAGAAAGUAAAUUAAUAAUACUAACCUCAUUUCUUUUGUACAUGAUUUCAAUUGAUGCCCUGGAGAACAAUUCCUUUGUAGAAAAAAAAAGGUGGGGAAUGGACAAUGGAAGCUAUUGCUGUAUCUUGCCUCAGUGCUAUUGACAAAUCGUAUGUCAGCAUCAGAUUAUAGGAUGUCAUAUUUUUUAUUUGAGCUACACUUUCAUGUAUCUUCAGCUAAGUCCUCCUGAUAUUUAUUUUCCUCAUAGUUUUUUCAUAAUAUUUGAUGGAAACUUUUGCAGUUUGUACUGUGAAACAAGACUUAAACCCUGGAAGUGAGGCAAUGUUCGUGAUGUAAC